rnacentral:rRNA from 1 species
UACAGAGGAUGCAAGCGUUAUCCGGAAUCACUGGGCAUAAAGCGUCUGUAGGUUGCCAAUCAAGUCUGCUGUUAAAGACUAGGGCUUAACCCUGGGAAAGCAGUGGAAACUAGUCGGCUUGAGUGUGGUAGAGGUAGAGGGAAUUCCUAGUGUAGCGGUGAAAUGCGUAGAUAUUAGGAAGAACACCAAUGGCGAAAGCACUCUACUGGGCCACAACUGACACUGAGAGACGACAGCUAGGGGAGCAAAUGGG